rnacentral:lncRNA from 1 species
CAUGUUUAUGCCAAUUGGAGGGCUCCGCAGCGGCUGCCUCCCUUUUUUGCAGAUGCUGAGAAGCAUGUGUCAUAUGAAAUGAAAGCCAUCGCAGAGGCACACACACAAGCAUGCCCGAUGCCUUCCUAUGACCAGUGUUAGUUCAAACACGUCAGCAUAAGCCGCAGCAGGGCCAGCUCCUUACUGGUCACACCAGCCAAAAUAAUGGCUAACAGACCAUCCCCAUCCUGCGUAAGUUAGUUAGUAGUAGUCGUGGGGGGCCGGUGGGGGCGGGGACCUUUUAUUGUUUAAAUCACCCCGUGUUUUUAAGGACCUGUAACCUGAGCUUUGAUCACUCUCUCCUCUCUUGGCUGGCUCCGUUCUCUGGUAUGCUCUGAUGCAUUCAGCACAUGUGGUAGUAUUGUACGCGAGCGGCAGUCAGGGCGAUUUACAGUCUGCUUCCCCCUCCUGCGAGAAACAGCAAAUCACCCACAGCGAGCACUUGGGAGGCUUGUCAGCAGUCUGCAGCCGAUUUUUCUGGGCGUGAGGCUCCUCCACACCAGUUAGAGGCUGGAACACUGUGCAGGAGCGAGCCACCAAGUCUUGUCAAGCUUUCUUCUCAGGGGUAACGAUCAGUUACAAAAACCGAAAGGCCAAAAUAUUGAUUUUUUUUUUCAACAGAAGAAUAAUAGACGCUUUGAUGUAAGGAACACCCAGUUUCUUGCCUAGGAAAGCUAAAACAGGCUACAUGAGCAGUUGGAAGUCGGAGAGAGCAGGGCUGGGUCGAAACAGCAGCUUAUUCUGUGACUUGUCUGGGAACCGGCAGUAAAUGGACUUUGGUUUCAAUGCUUUGAAUAUUUACAGUGGCUUUGGAUGUUGGAAUACAAGCCUUAGUCUCUCCUGUUUCAUAAGCUUACCUAAUUACAAACAUGAGCGAGGAACCAAAGGAGAAAAAUGUGAAACCUGUCCAUAGAAAAAGGAAGGGCAAAAAGGAAACAAACAAUUCACGGCGCUCUUGGGAACAUAGGCAGCCGACAGCUCGCUGUGCGUUUCUGCAGAAGCCCUCUGGUCCCUGCCAGACCUGGAAGGUUUUGCCAGAUGGAGCCGGAGUAGCGUGGGGGUGGGGGUGCUCUGCAGAUCCUGUGCAGUCAGCGGGGGCAGCCGGCGAGCAAAGGCUCAGGAUGCGCCAGAGAUACAGGUUCCAUGGUCAGGUCCAGGCUGCACUGUGGGCGCUGUUCCCAUUUAUACACUAGGACGACUUGCCUCCAACCUCUGUUUGUUUGUUUGUUUGCUUGGAUUUGGCGGCAUUCUGCAUUGGAGAAAAGAAAAAGGAAAGCAGGCUUGUCUAUUUUUCUUUUAAAUAGACGAUUAAAGCAACAACUCUCCCCUGACCACGCCCUCUUCUCUAUAUAUUUGCUCAAGGAUUUACAUUUUUUAAUUUAGUUACAACUAAAUAAAGAGAAAUAUGGUAGGC